GAAGCAUGAGUAGUGUGAUGAGUAAGAAACAGACUUGCUUUAUGAGUUACUCAACCCAAAGAACAAGAGCUGACUCGUCCUUAAUACGCUUAUUCCCAAACAAGGGGGGAAUCCCAGUAACGGGGGUCUCUCAGAAAGUCCUUGUUCCUCUGCAAAUUGCUGGAGAAGUGACGCUCCCUGUCUGAAGUAUGCAAACCAAAUGGAUGUUUUCAAAGCUGUGACAAAGAAGGGGAAAGAUUGUCGUACAAGCUGGUAAUUACCGCAUGGAUGAAUAGGGCUGAGGGGCUGUUUGGCUGACACCACCGCUUUUCAAAAAGGUUCCCUUCCAUACAGCUCAUGGACUCACCAUGUUCCGUAAUCGUACCCUGCUCUGAGGGCUCGAUGGGCCUGAUGGGCAGCAGGCACAAAGACCUCUCUGUCCUUGCUUGGCCAAGAGUGAGGCCUCAUUCCAAAACAGUGAAGUCUUUGAAAAUUGCCUGGCACGGGUACUUCGCUACGGUUGUUUACAUGAGCGCUGCCAGGAAAACCAGAUGAAUUAGAUGCAAGAGGAGUUGGAGAGAUAGGGAUUAGGCUGACAAAAAAGAAUCGAGGAGGGAUUUUGUUUGGAAUGAGCAUAAACGGAUGAAACAUCCGUCCUUGACAAAUGUGUGGCAUUCAAUAGGGAGGGGAAGAAGCUGUCACGCAUGUCUGAUUGAGUGUCUUAUGACGAUCAUUAAAUAAAUUGUGCAAUCCAAUCAGACAAUGUUGAAUCAACACAAACUUUUGAGGAAAUGACAUACAAAACAUUCUGGGAAAGCUUGCAUGAAAGGUGACGAGAGCAACUUUUAGUAAGGAAGACCUUUUCGAGAGCCAUAAUCAACCAAAUUAACCAAUAUGAAAGCCCAACCGUUAAAAAUUUUGAGAAAUGCACCACUUUUUGCACAGCCAAAUGAUUGUUGGCAGUCCAUCUAAGUCUGAUCUCAGUUAUACUAAAAUGAAAAACAAAUUACAAACAUUUCUAAAGAAAAACUUGCAAUGUUGUUUACUGGCUGUGGCAUUUUUAAGACAUCCAUCCAUCCAUCCAGUGGUUGAGGCUGACGCUCGAACCAGUCGGCCACCGAGCCGCCAUUUUUAAGACAUACAAAAGAAAAAUUGUAUGAAGUUACUACUUUUUAAGGAUCACCCUGACAAAAAUACAGUUGAUACGGUUUUAUUGGGUGGACAGACGGCUUCAGAAAUGCAGGAUUCAGCAGUAGACUAAAUCAUACCUGCUUUUCCCUCUUGUGUGCACAAUCUGGCACAGAACCGGGCCCAAACUAGUCUGAUUGAGAAAGUCUGAGGACCUGGCAACUUCAGAGAAAAACAGACAUCAGUCCUUGCUGGCUGACAAAUGAGAAUGCUAGCAGUGUCCAGUCACAUUCUGGAAUGCCACCAAUUUGAGAGAGGAACUGAUGAGUCUCUGUGUGAACGAGAGGGAAAAGAAGCAGGGCAUGUUCGGACAAAUUCUUAGAGAAAUGCGCAACACUGGCUGUUCAACUUUUAAGCUUCUGACUCCGCCACGACAUCAUGACUUUAGCCCUAGCAGCCAAAUUACACAGGAAGCGCUGACUGACGAGGGCCCCGCUUCAGACAAAGCGGGCACGCCACGACGAGAUGAGCGUCGUGCUGACAAAUUGUUCAACUGACCACAAAUGAGCGCAAACAUCAAAUGGCGUCGAAGCGCUUGAGAAACCGGUGACAGCGUAUCGUCAUUCAUCAUCACCAUUGUUGUUUGAUGUGCUGCUCUGGCUCGACUCAGGGGCCCUCGCUAUCACUGCAGCACAGCUCUGAGAGUAAUGGGCAGAGCGCGACACUGGCAAAGUGCAUUUCACUCACAGACCCCACAACGAGACAGUUGUGGAGUAGCCACUGUACUGUAUAUAGACCUUGUUUUUAUCUCUAGCACAGUCGUCCUUAAUCUUUCCUCUCGUCUUAUCCAUAAAAUACAUUGACAGGGUUAAACUUUUUUUGUGUGGGAGAGACGGCGGAAUGAAACCUUUAAACAGCAAAAUAACAUAUGGGGUUGCCAUUUCCAAAAUGUAAACAAUGUCAUUACCUGGGCAGUCCAGGAGGUUUGACAAUAAAUGUCCAACUCACAGAAAGGCAGUUGCUUAGAGAGGAAAAAAAAAAAAAAGAAAAAAAAAAGUGAAUUACACUGCUUAGCUGCUCUGCUUGUCAUAAACGGGACGCGAAUGCCACUUUUCCACUGCACAGGCUUCCCUUGGGGUUGCAGUUCUCCUCUUCAAAGUAAUAUUGUGGGACACUGUGAAAACCAUGCCGCAUUGAACGCAUUAGUCAGACAGAGACAUGCUAACAAACAAAAAUAAUGGAGGUGCUGUUCUCAUUUUAUUUGAGAAGAGACUCAAAGUAUCAAGAAAACGGACCUCUGCAGAGAAGUGGAGACUGAGGGGUAUAUUACUCCAGCGUCCGAAGCCAAGGCAGGAACAGGCCUGGGAUGGGAUUGCCAGGGUCCCCGCCUUCGGCCACCGCCCAGCUCGCACUGCACCCGACCCCGAUGGCCCCCUCCCACAGGGGCUUGUCGUCUAACUAAUGCAGUCAGCGGCUUGGAGGCGGACAGCGAGUGCAGGGAGAGGGGAAGUGCAGCCUGAAGCAGACAUCCAGUUUUUCUCUCCCCGCAACCUCGGCUCGCAACCGCUGAAGCUCGGCAGCCAGGUCACCUCAUUAGAAUUUUUUGCAUUCUUCUCCAGGGAGCACUGCACUCCUUUUUCCACCCCUGAGUGCUCUUCAUUAUGCACAACCUCUAAUCCCUGCCAAGAUUUAAUCUGAUCAAUAAAAACAAGUCAGGUAAAACUCCACAUCAGAUAUAAAAGGUACUACUCCAACUUGGGCUUGUUUCCAAAAGAUUAGUGGAAUAAUUGGCCAUUAAAUUAGAGAAUCACUGUACGUAAUGUUGUACAUGCACACAAAUCAAUUAAACAUAAUCCGAUUAUAGCCUGUUGACUUUUAUUCACAUUUUUGUUUUAGCGCACCCUCAGAUGAUGCCCCCUUUUCCUCUGAACAAUACACAAUAGCCUCAAUACAGCUAUAUUUGCUAUUGCCAUUUU